CGACUGUCGAACUGACCACGCCCCGCGAGCGCUCUAAUUGAUCGCAUGACCGUUAAUUACUGUAUUUCACACAAAGAGGAAUUAACCGUCAUAAUUUCUGAGUGGCCGAAUAAGAAACUCUGGGUAAGCUCCAUGUCAGAUGUGAGGGUGACACCUGGCUCACUUCAGCUCGGCCCAGAGACCAGAGCAGCUACAAGCCCUGGAGCAACACGGCUUCUGUCCCAAAUAAACACCCGAUCCUGCGCAGGCGUCUGGCCUGCUUCAAGGAUGACGGGCCAAGCACCAGCAUGGGAGAAGACCCUCUUCCUGGAACUCACUGUUUUCACAUACUUGAUAUGUUUCAGCAUAUUUUUGUGUCUGAUAUCAGAGGGUCUGCUGAGAAGCAGGGGGCUAAUGGUUCAAUGUGAAAUACUGGUUUAACUGGGUGUCUACAUUAGUAAGAUGACCUUUUCCAAUUUUCCUUUGUAAAACUUUGAUUAUAAAUGUAGAAAAUAUUGGGUCAGUCCUUGUUAGCUUCACUUGCAGUUAACUUUUCUCACCUUCAGUGUGAUUAUGGCAAUUACAGAACAGCAGUUAAUGACAGGUUUGAAUCACAGGUCAGCAAUCCCACUCCUAAUCAGCAAUUGCAACAGAACUGAGGGUUCUUCAAUGCUGAUCAUUUGAGCAGAACCUCCUUUAUGUACCUUGAAUAAGCACACUAUAAGUCACUCGCUACAAUUGCUGCUAUAUCUGCAGCCAUUCUGUAUCCCACACUGACUGAGCACACAUUCACUUUAUCAGCAUACUGAAUAAUCAGUACUGUAUAAGACAUGUACCAUCUAUACUACUGCACUACUGUCUGUUAGGCCCUGGUGUAAUGUGUCCUCAAAUGUGUGCCAUGUCCUCAGUAAGUCCUCUGGAAUACAUAAUACAAUAAAAAUACAUUCCUGCGUGUUA